rnacentral:rRNA from 1 species
AGCAGCCGCAGUAAUUUCAGCUCCAAUGGCGUAUAUUAAAGUUGUUGCAGUUAAAAAGCUCAUAGUUGAAUUUUGGGGUUAGCAAGCUGGUCGUGCCUUCGGUAUGUACUGGCUUUACUGAUUUCUCCUUCUUGACGAACCAUGAUGUCAUUAAUUUGGUGUUGCGGGAAAUCAGAACUGUUAAUUUGAAAAAAUUAGAGUGUUUAAAGCAGGCCAACGCUUGAAUACAUUAGCAUAGAAUAAUGAAAUAGGACGUUAAUCCUAUUUUGUUGGUUUCUAGGAUUGACAUAAUGAUUAAUAGGGAUAGUUGGGGCAUUAGUAUUCAAUUGUCAGAUGUGAAAUUCUUGGAUUUAUUGAAGACUAACUACUGCGAAAGCAUUUACCAAGGAUGUUUUCAUUAAUCAAGAACGAAAGUUAGGGGAUCAAAGAUGAUCAGAUACCAUCGUAGUCUUAACCAUAANCUAUGCC